GGCAUUCUCAGAUGACACACCCCCGAAUCCGGCUCCCUCCUCUCUGGUUCCGGGUGCAUCAACUGAGGGCCGCA
rfam:Myotis lucifugus cont2.8934, whole genome shotgun sequence.